rnacentral:rRNA from 1 species
GACGAACGCUGGCGGCGUGCCUAAUACAUGCAAGUAGAACGCUGAAGCUUGGUGCUUGCACCGAGCGGAUGAGUUGCGAACGGGUGAGUAACGCGUAGGUAACCUGCCUGGUAGCGGGGGAUAAUUAUUGGAAACGAUAGCUAAUACCGCAUAAGAGUAGAUGUUGCAUGACAUUUGCUUAAAAGGUGCAAUUGCAUCACUACCAGAUGGACCUGCGUUGUAUUAGCUAGUUGGUGAGGUAACGGCUCACCAAGGCAACGAUACAUAGCCGACCUGAGAGGGUGAUCGGCCACACUGGGACUGAGACACGGCCCAGACUCCUACGGGAGGCAGCAGUAGGGAAUCUUCGGCAAUGGACGGAAGUCUGACCGAGCAACGCCGCGUGAGUGAAGAAGGUUUUCGGAUCGUAAAGCUCUGUUGUAAGAGAAGAACGAGUGUGAGAGUGGAAAGUUCACACUGUGACGGUAUCUUACCAGAAAGGGACGGCUAACUACGUG